GGGUGAGUAACACGUGGAUAACCUACCUAUAAGACUGGGAUAACUUCGGGACACCGGAGCUAAUACCGGAUAAUAUUUUGAACCGCAUGGUUCAAAAGUGAAAGACGGUCUUGCUGUCACUUAUAGAUGGAUCCGCGCCGCAUUAGCUAGUUGGUAAGGUAACGGCUUACCAAGGCAACGAUGCAUAGCCGACCUGAGAGGGUGAUCGGCCACACUGGAACUGAGACACGGUCCAG
rnacentral:rRNA from 1 species